GUUGGAAACUAGUUCCCUAGUAGUAAAGAAUAUGAUUUGUUGGGAAUGGGAAGUCCCAUGGAGUGUGACAGGGGAAAUUAGGAAAAUUAAACAUUUGAUAAAGGAGAGAGGUGGUGGUUGCUCAUGUGUUCUGAGAAGGCAACAAGGUUGCAGAUUUUUUAGCUAACAAUACUUUCUCUUUUGCAAGCACACAAAGCAGAAUUUUCUCAUCUUUUCAAGAACUACAAAAGGAAGCAAAGGUGUUGAUUAAUAUGGAUAAAGCAGGAAUUGAAAAUCUGCGAAUAAAAAAAAUGCAAAAUACAAAGUAUGCCGACAGUGAAAGUAGUCACAACAUAUAGUAAAAGCAAGGGACAACAACAAUAGACAUUCAAAAUCACAUUCUUGUCUCUAAUACAUCAGUACAAAGCGGCAUAACAAUUACUCCGAGUAAUAAAGAAAUGAGUUUUAGCAACAUUAACAAAGAAAUACCUGGACUGUGCAGUGGUAUUAGCUAGAUUUUCGGCUCAAUCUGUAGGAAAGGGUAAAUCUUUGUGAUGGAGCCAAAGAUCAGAGGAAAAACUUGAUGCAAUGAGACAUGGAGUGAAUCGAAUCUUACUUGGUUUGUUCAAGCUGAGGCGAAGUGUUCAACGGGCUAUGUUUCCAUGGCAUUCGUGAGAAAUUAGAGUGCCUCUUGUGGAAUCAUCCCAACCACAGCUUGUUGCAGUCUUUGAUGAAUCAAGGACAGUCACCGGCAGAUCCGACUUCGACAACCACCAUGGCAGAUGAGAAAUAGAGCUUGAAGUUGGAGUUGGG
rnacentral:lncRNA from 1 species